rnacentral:sRNA from 3 species
AUAUCUCUCUUUACGGGAAGGAUGAGAAGCUUCGACUAAGGUUCGAUUCGAGCGUCAGCGAGAAAGCGUUGCCGCAGGCAACGACCCGAAGGGCGAAGCGCGCAGCGCUGAGUCAUCCUUCCCCCACCACCA